rnacentral:rRNA from 1 species
GAUGAACGCUGGCGGCGUGCCUAAUACAUGCAAGUCGAGCGAACGGACGAGAAGCUUGCUUCUCUGAUGUUAGCGGCGGACGGGUGAGUAACACGUGGAUAACCUACCUAUAAGACUAGGAUAACUUCGGGAAACCGUAGCUAAUACCGGAUAAUGUUUUGAACCGCAUGGUUCAAAAGUGAAAGACGGUCUUGCUGUCACUUAUAGAUGGAUCCGCGCUGCAUUAGCUAGUUGGUAAGGUAACGGCUUACCAAGGCAACGAUGCAUAGCCGACCUGAGAGGGUGAUCGGCCACACUGGAACUGAGACACGGUCCAGACUCCUACGGGAGGCAGCAGUAGGGAAUCUUCCGCAAUGGGCGAAAGCCUGACGGGGCAACGCCGCGUGAGUGAUGAAGGUCUUCGGAUCGUAAAACUCUGUUAUUAGGGAAGAACAUAUGUGUAAGUAACUGUGCACAUCUUGACGGUACCUAAUCAGAAAGCCACGGCUAACUACGUG